rnacentral:rRNA from 1 species
UACGUAGGGGGCAAGCGUUGUCCGGAAUCAUUGGGCGUAAAGCGUGCGUAGGUGGUUCGUUGUGUCUGUGGUGAAAGCCCCGGGCUUAACCUGGGAAUGGCCAUGGAAACUGGCGAGCUGGAGUGUGGCAGAGGGGGGUGGAAUUCCGCGUGUAGCAGUGAAAUGCGUAGAGAUGCGGAGGAACACCGAUGGCGAAGGCAAUCCCCUGGGCCUGCACUGACGCUCAUGCACGAAAGCGUGGGGAGCAAACAGG